rnacentral:rRNA from 1 species
AUUGAACGCUGGCGGCAUGCUUUACACAUGCAAGUCGAACGGUAACAGGGUGCUUGCACCGCUGACGAGUGGCGAACGGGUGAGUAAUAUAUCGGAACGUACCCAGAAGUGGGGGAUAACGUAGCGAAAGUUACGCUAAUACCGCAUACGAUCUACGGAUGAAAGUGGGGGACCUUCGGGCCUCAUGCUUGUGGAGCGGCCGAUAUCUGAUUAGCUAGUUGGUAGGGUAAAGGCCUACCAAGGCGACGAUCAGUAGCUGGUCUGAGAGGACGACCAGCCACACUGGGACUGAGACACGGCCCAGACUCCUACGGGAGGCAGCAGUGGGGAAUUUUGGACAAUGGGCGCAAGCCUGAUCCAGCAAUGCCGCGUGAGUGAAGAAGGCCUUCGGGUUGUAAAGCUCUUUUGUCAGGGAAGAAACGGGAUUGGCUAAUAUCUAGUCCUAAUGACGGUACCUGAAGAAUAAGCACCGGCUAACUACGUGCCAGCCGCCGCGGUAAUAC